AUGAAAUUCGGGUAUGGGGAGCUGUGUCAGACUACAGCUCCCGGCGUGCUCUGCGGCUGGACUACAGUUCCCGGCAUGCGCCGCGGCCGUACCACAGCGCCCAGCGUGUCCCGCGCUUGCAAGAUGGCGGCGCCCAGGGGCGGCUCGGGCCCGGACAGCGACACCGGCUCGGACUCGGACAGCGGCGGUGAAGCGGCCGCGCGGUUCCGGGAGGCUGCCUGGGACUGCACCGCGCAGGCGGCGGCGGCGCGGGCGGAGCCGCGCGGCGGGGGCUUUAGAAAGGAUCGGUUGCAGCUUAAAGAUCAGCCAAGCCUGAGGCGUGAGGCAAUCAGCCAUGAGGAGGGUGACAAUGAGCUCCAGACGACUCCAGAGUUCAGAGCACACGUUGCAAAGAAACUGGGAUCCAUGCUAGACAGCUUCAUCACUGUCUUCAAGGACCCAUCAGGACCGUCACAGACUUUGGUGGCACAGUCUGACUCUGAGGAUGAUGGUUUUCGCCUCUUCUCUUCCUCUGUCCCUGGAGACUCUGGGAAACCGGAGCCUUGCCCUGCAGCAAGGAGGAGGAGGCCAGUUAGCUCCAGUGACUCAGACAGUGACCAAGAGUGGCAAAGGUACCGGGAGGCUGCCGUGUCACCUGCGGAUAUUCUGAAGCAAAGUGCUUUUCCUGCAUUGUCCCAGGGUUCCAGCCAGGAUCAGAAUCAGAGUUAUGUAGAGCCCAACCAGAAAAAAAAAGAAAAGAAAAAGAAAACUGGGAGACAGAACAAUAUUCAAGAGAAAAUAAUAGACCCAGCAGAGUGUGACCAGAUCUGCAAAGAUUUGCCUCAGUUGGUGUCUGCAAAUGGCCAACAGGAGAGACAGGACAGCAAUCACAGAGAGAACUCUGUGCUGCCAGGAGCUGUGAAGAAGAAAAAGAAGAAAAAAGAAUGAUGAUUUUGCUCUACAAACGGCAGGUGGUUGUGAUGGGUGAGGGAAACUGAAAGAAAACCUAACAACAAGAUUUGCUGCAGAUGAGGGAAAAUUAAUUGGCAAAGCUUCUGCUCUAAAAGCUCAGUGGCCUGAGAGACUAAUUAAGUGACUUCCUGUGCUACUGGCAUCCCCAAGGAAGGGAACAUUGUUCUCCUCACACAGCAGUUGUCUGUGCUGCUGCUUAUGCAGGCCCAAUCUGAAAGGAUUAAAUACUGUGCCAGACUUGCAUGGCAGAGGGAUGUGAUCAUAGCUGCAUUCCUCCUGGUCUGUUCUUCAUAUCGUGAAACUCUUCUGGAGAAAGUAUAUGAUGAAUUGAAUUUGGUUUACAUGGCAACAGACAAAAAGCUUUAAGGAAGCUUUAGUAAGAAUAUGCACCAAGAGGUUAAACACUGGGACAAACUACCUUGAUAUCAGUUCUAGAAGACAGACAUAGAAGAUUUUCAGGACCUCGUGAAAGACUAAUUUUCUUCAGCAAGAGACCAGAAAGCCAGCAAAGUGGGAGAAGCCUUCAUUUCCCUGAGGUGGGUUCUGAAUUGCUGCUUUGGACCAGACCCUGCUCAAGCAGAGGUUCAGAGCUGUGAAGUGCUCAGGACCAUCCCCCGGCCCUUUCCUCUGGAGCUGCUCCACAACCCAGAGCCCAGCCUGGAGCCGGGCUGGGCAGAGGGAAGAUCUGCUCUGUGCCCGGAGCACCACGUCCCCUCCCUGCAGGGAGUUAACAAAGCUCUAAUGGAUACGA